UCCAUUUUUCUGAACAUGCCCUUUCGCUUUCUCCUCUCCGUCGUCUCUCUCACAUCCACUCUCUCAAUUCAUAAACUGAAUUGAAUCUAACAUUAAAUUUUCUUCUUCUACACUGGAAAUUUAAAACCAUUUUCAGUUUAGAUGUUUCUAUAUUUACUCACAUUUACUAACCCUAAACCGAAUUGAAUCCAGAUUUACUUUGCUUCUUCUGCAAACCAUGUCUUCACCGUUCAUUUUAAUCGCUUCCAUUUCUCUUCUACACUGAAUCGUUUAGAAGCUCUAGGGUUUUUGAGAAUUGAAAUUUUGGGAGGUUUUAUUUGCAACUUCAUUCUCUAGGCUUUAAUCUUUCCUUCUCUUGCAGAAACCUAAUCGAUAACUACAAGUCUUCCAUCUCAGGUGGUUCCUUUGACCUUAAAGUGGUUUGUGUUGCCACCGGAAGGAGAAAGGCUCCAUGCCCUGGUGAGGACAAUUUCAAGGCAGCAGUGCUGGUACUUGAAGAAGACGGGUCCUACAUUUCGAGUUCUCUAUCAGGUUGGGUUAGAGUUUUAAGAAAAAAUAUGGGUUUGGGUCUAUGUAAUGGGCUGAUAUUGAGUAAGCUGGGUUGGACUUGUAGCUAGUGUUCAAUUUUUGGGCCCUCGGCCGUUUGCUAGGUUGUAAUCUUGGCCUGUUAAAGGCUUUUAAUGCAUCUCUGCCUAAAAUUGUGAAAAGAGAGUUGCCGAUAUCCAUUGGCUGUGGAGCCCUGAGUAUUCCUGCGAGAGAUCAAAACAAGUGGGCCUUUCUGCGCUGGAAUCUUUCUUUGGAUGCAAAUGGAUCUUCAAGCUCGUCUCCCUUCGCUUAUACCCUCUAGACGUCAAGAUUAACCAAUUUUUCAUUUCUUCCUUUAAUAAAUACUAUCUUCUUAGACCUUUCUGCUCCCGAGGGAAUUCUCAGAACCCCAACCAAGACGGCGACGUCAUUUUUAGGCCUUCAAUUACUAACCCUCUUCACAACUUCAUCAGCUAUUUAGAAUUUGCGGGGUUCCUUUUUUUUUCUAUUUUGUGAUUCUGUGAUGGGAGAAUGGUAGCUAGAAGUCGAAGCCUUGUCCAUGGAGUUGAAUACUUUUAACUAUGUGGUCCUUACAAUUUUGAAUUUUUAGAUUAAGUGGGUUUGCAAUGAAUUUAUCUCAAUUAUCAAUUGAGCAGCAUUAAGAGAAUUAAUCAAUUUCCAAGACUGACUUCUUAGUAUUUUGUUGCUGUGAAAUUCUGCAACUAGUGUUUGUUUCUUGAGAAAAAUAAAGGAAAAUGAGAAACGAAGGAUAAUUCAGAGAGAGAAGAAGUAUCUAGAGAAGGGAAGAUAAGAGGGUGAGUUUCAUCAAAUUUCUGUAUUGAUUAACAUCCAAUUGCAAGUAAUGUACAAGGUUCAAGUUUUAGAUUAAGUGGGUUUGUAUUGAAUUAUUCUGAGUUAUCAGUAGAGCAGCAGUAAGAGAAACUUCCAAGACUGAUUUCUUCUUAGUAUUGUGUUGCAAUGAAAUUCUGCAACUAGUUUUGGUUUCUUGAGAAAAUAAAGGAUAAUGAGAAAAGAAGGAGAAUUCAGAGAGAGAAGUAUCUGGAAAAGACAAGAGAGCGAGUCUCAUCAUAUUCACAACUGAUUAACAUCCUGAAUCACAUCACUAUAUCUUAAAGUGAACUAACUCUAGCUGAGCUUUAACUAAUUAAUAGACUAACAGCCCCUUUUAACCUUCUACAGCUGUUCCUGCCAUAAUUUCUUCUUGCUUAUUCCUCCUUGAAGCUUCCUUAUUCUUCUCUACAUCAUAUUGAGAACCCGGUAAAUGCCCAAUAUUUAGUUCAGUCCUCAUAAAGUAGCUAUUCCAAUAUGGCGAAUAAAUCCAUCCACCAAUCCGCAUGGUGAUCAUGCAAAAUCUCUCCAGAAGCUGCUCUCUUAGAUGGUCUUUUCGAAGCACCGUAAGGGGAGGAUCCCAUCCUUUGAGCUUUUGUUGUUUACUAUAAUGCGGACCAGUGGAAGAUCCCUCGACUUCAAAAGCCUUAAAAUUGGACCUUGUGAAGGUUGCUACUAUAUGAUGAAUCGUAGAAUUAGCACCUUGUCACUUGUGUUUGAAGACAAACUGAUCACAUCAUUUCCAACUCAUCAAUAAACCAACCCCAAAAAGAAAAUUACAAGGCUAGGUGCCAGUUUCAUUGCUACGAAACUUAAAUUACAGUAAGUUAUAUAUAUAUGUUGGAAUAGAUUUUAAUUGGGGUAGUUUAAGAGUUGGUGGUUUCAUAACUACCCCAUAUAAAGAGAGGACUUUAUCUUUGUCAGACUUUAAGCAAGGUAGUUUAGGGAGACCUAAUAGAAAGCUGGAUGCCUGCUUUUAAUCCCUAACCAAGAAGAAGGGGUUGUAGAUUUGUUCAAAUUGAUUCUAAUCAAGUCAAGAAAAUCUUCCUCAAACAGACUGGGAUAGAGCCUGGUCUAACUUCAGGAAACAGGGGAAGAAAACCCUCUUGUCUCAGUUCUCUCCAAACAAGUAUGUGAGUUGGAAUCCUUGGUGCUUGAACUACCCACCAUCUGAAGAGGUUGCUCCCAUCAAGAGGAGAGAGAUGUCAAACCCAUGUUAUGGAACAGUCCAAGGUUUAUU